UACGUAGGGUGCAAGCGUUGCCCGGAUUUAUUGGGCGUAAAGGGCGCGCAGGCGGCUACGCACGUCCGUUGUGAAAUCGCUCGGCUCAACUGGGCGGGGUCGGCGGAUACGGCGUAGCUGGAGCAAGCUAGGGGGCAAUGGAAUUCCCGGUGUAGCGGUGAAAUGCGUAGAGAUCGGGAGGAACACCAGAGGCGAAGGCGGCUCGCUGGACAAGUAUUGACACUCAACUACGAAAGCGUGGGGAGCAAACAGG
rnacentral:rRNA from 1 species